AUGGCUUGGACCACACUGCUGCUCCCACUGCUCAAUCUCUACACAGGCUCUGUUGCCUCCUAUGAGCUGAUACAGCCACCCUCGGUGUCAGUGUCCCCAGGACAGACAGCCAGGAUCACCUGCUCUGGAGAUGUACUGGGAGAAAAUUAUGCUGACUGGUACCAGCAGAAGCCAGGCCAGGCCCCUGUGCUGGUGAUAUAUAAAGAUAGUGAGCGGCCCCCUGGAAUCCCUGAGCGAUUCUCUGGGUGCACCUCAGGGAACACGGCCACCCUGACCAUCAGCAGGGUCCUGACCGAAGAAGAGGCUGACUAUUACUGUUUGUCUGGGGAUGAGGACAAUCCCACAGCGACACAGGCAGAUGGGGAAAUGAGACACAAACUCCUUUUUCAUCUGUGUCAUGUUCUUCCUCCAGCACCAGGAAGACUGUGGACCAAGCCAUGA